AGGAAACUGAGUCUGAAAGAGUUUAAUAAGGAAGAGAAGCAGAGGCAUAGGUGAGAGAAUAGCAAUAAACCACGGAUGAGGGGAGCCCUGGUGACAAAGAGGACACUGGAUUCUCUCUGUGGUCAAGGAGAGAUGGCAGUGAGAGGGGUAAAUUCACUCAGUUACCCAACUUCCUCUUAGGAGAGUACAGUGUCAAGGGUGACAAGCCUCACCUGGCUGAGAGUGAGAUUUGUUUGGGCCCCAUUGUCAUACCAACAAGGGAAUGUUUGGUAACAGAGCCAGUGACUUCACAGAAACUGGUCUUAAUUCCACAUUUCUGAAGCUCAGGGAAGAGCAGAGCCAGCCAGGAGAGAAUGUGGAGGCAGAGGAAGACAAUAGUUCCCUUGGAAGAGCUGUGACUACUAGAAAAGUACUGUCCUGGUGAUGUUUCAAGUACAAUGUUAUAUAACAGAGGUGACUUGCAUCACUCCGGAUCUUACUGGGAAGGCUUCUAACUUGACCCCAUUGAAGAUGAUGCUAGCUGAUUGGUUUAAAUAUAUACUGUUUAUUAAUUUUAGCAAAGGCCCCUCUACUCCUCUACCUUCUAGUAUUUUCAAUAGCAAUGAGUGUUGUAUUUUGUGAAAGACUUUUUCUGCAUCUGUUGAGAUAAUCAUGUGAUUUCUGUUGGUUUGGUAAUGAUAUUGUCAAUUAAGUGGAUAGUUUUCCUAAUAUUAAACCAUUCUGGUAUAAAUCCCACCUGAUCAUAGUGAAUAAUCGUCGGGAUAACUUCCUUGAGUCUUUUUGCUAGUAUUCUAUUCAAGGUCUGGUAAAAGUCCUUCUUUGUUUCUUUUGUCAAAGAGUUUGGGGAUAUGAUUAGGGUUUUGACAUCAAAAGAUGACUCUGUUGAAAAUAUGAAUAACAUGGAAAUAGAUUUUGAACAAUGAUACAUGUGUAACCCAGUGGAACUGCUUGUCAGAUCUUGGAGGGGGGGAAAUGAGGAGAGGGAAUCAUGAAUCUUGUAACCAUGGAAAAAUAUUCUAAACCAAAACACAUUUUUUUAAGUUUUUUUUU
rnacentral:lncRNA from 1 species